UACGAAGGGUGCAAGCGUUGCUCGGAAUUAUUGGGCGUAAAGGGUAGGUAGGUGGUUACGUAUGUCUGGGGUGAAAUCCCUGAGCUCAACUCAGGAAGUGCCUUGGAAACGGCGUAACUAGAGUACUAGAGAGGUUCGUGGAAUUCCCAGUGUAGCGGUGAAAUGCGUAGAGAUUGGGAGGAACAUCAGAGGCGAAGGCGGCGAACUGGAUAGUAACUGACACUGAACUACGAAAGCGUGGGUAGCAAACAGG
rnacentral:rRNA from 1 species